rnacentral:rRNA from 1 species
CGCCGAUGGAGGGGGAUAACUACUGGAAACGGUAGCUAAUACCGCAUAACGUCGCAAGACCAAAGAGGGGACCUUGGGCCUCUUGCCAUCGGAUGUGCCCAGAUGGGAUUAGCUAGUAGGUGGGGUAACGGCUCACCUAGGCGACGAUCCCUAGCUGGUCUGAGAGGAUGACCAGCCACACUGGAACUGAGACACGGUCCAG